rnacentral:rRNA from 1 species
AGCAGCCGCGGUAAUUCCAGCUCCAAUAGCGUAUAUUAAAGUUGUUGCAGUUAAGAAGCUCGUAGUUGAAUUCCGAGAUCAAAUUGUUGGUCGUGCCUUGGUACGCACUGGCAUUAUUGGUUUCUCCCUUCUGACGAACCAUGAUGUCAUUAAUUUGGUGUCUUGGGGAAUCAGGACUGUUACUUUGAAAAAUUAGAGUGUUUAAAGCAGGCUCACGCUUGAAUACAUUAGCAUGGAAUAAUGAAAUAGGACGUUUGAUUCUAUUUUGUUGGUUUCUAGGAUCGACGUAAUGAUUAAUAGGGAUAGUUGGGGGCAUUAGUAUUCAAUUGUCAGAGGCGAAAUUCUUGGAUUUAUUGAAGACUAACUACUGCGAAAGCAUUUGCCAAGGAUGUUUUCAUUAAUCAAGAACGAAAGUUAGGGGAUCGAAGACGAUCAGAUACCGUCGUAGUCUUAACCAUAAACUAUGCCGACUAGGGAUCGGAUGAUGUUAAUUUUUAAUGACUCAUUC